GAUGAACGCUAGCGGCAUGCCUAACACAUGCAAGUCGAACGAGACCUUCGGGUCUAGUGGCGCACGGGUGCGUAACGCGUGGGAAUCUGCCCUUGGGUUCGGAAUAACUCAGAGAAAUUUGAGCUAAUACCGGAUGAUGACGUAAGUCCAAAGAUUUAUCGCCCAAGGAUGAGCCCGCGUAAGAUUAGCUUGUUGGUAGGGUAAUGGCCUACCAAGGCGACGAUCUUUAGCUGGUCUGAGAGGAUGAUCAGCCACACUGGGACUGAGACACGGCCCAGACUCCUACGGGAGGCAGCAGUGGGGAAGUCUUGGACAAUGGGGGCGAACCCUACGAUCCACGCGAUGCCGCGUGUGUGAAGAAGGACCGUUA
rnacentral:rRNA from 1 species